UCCAAUCUUAAGGUGGGUCAAGAAUCGACCUACCUACUAAUGUUAGUCGACUCCACCCUAUACAAUAAGAUGUAAUAUUAAACUAAGCACCUAGAGAGGACUCCUCUCUUAAUACAAAGUACUAAUAAUACAUAAAUAAGGGAGACUCUCCCCUUACAAGAAAUUUAGAUUUAUGUCUAAUCAAACUACUAUACCUAAAGACAUAGUAAUUGGAAAAAUAAUAUCUCAUGAAUCAACUUGUCUAGGGAUUGUAUGAGUCCUUCUUACGACACUUGGUAUAUCAUGAGUAUUAAUGAGAUUCUCUCAAGUUUGUCACUAUUACUUUCUUCACUG
rnacentral:lncRNA from 1 species